AUUGAACGCUGGCGGCAGGCCUAACACAUGCAAGUCGAGCGGAUGAAGGGAGCUUGCUCCUGGAUUCAGCGGCGGACGGGUGAGUAAUGCCUAGGAAUCUGCCCGGUAGUGGGGGAUAACGUCCGGAAACGGGCGCUAAUACCGCAUACGUCCUGAGGGAGAAAGUGGGGGAUCUUCGGACCUCGCGCUAUCAGAUGAGCCUAGGUCGGAUUAGCUAGUUGGUGGGGUAAAGGCCUACCAAGGCGACGAUCCGUAACUGGUCUGAGAGGAUGAUCAGUCACACUGGAACUGAGACACGGUCCAGACUCCUACGGGAGGCAGCAGUGGGGAAUAUUGGACAAUGGGCGAAAGCCUGAUCCAGCCAUGCCGCGUGUGUGAAGAAGGUCUUCGGAUUGUAAAGCACUUUAAGUUGGGAGGAAGGGCAGUAAGUUAAUACCUUGCUGUUUUGACGUUACCAACAGAAUAAGCACCGGCUAACUUCGUG
rnacentral:rRNA from 1 species